rnacentral:rRNA from 1 species
ACACUCCUGCGGGAGGCAGCAGUGGGGAAUAUUGCACAAUGGGCGCAAGCCUGAUGCAGCGACGCCGCGUGGGGGAUGAAGGCCUUCGGGUUGUAAACUCCUUUCGCUAGGGACGAAGCUUUUUUGUGACGGUACCUAGAUAAGAAGCACCGGCUAACUACGUGCCAGCAGCCGCGGUAAUACGUAGGGUGCGAGCGUUGUCCGGAAUUACUGGGCGUAAAGGGCUCGUAGGUGGUUUGUCGCGUCGUCUGUGAAAUUCUGGGGCUUAACUCCGGGCGUGCAGGCGAUACGGGCAUAACUUGAGUGCUGUAGGGGUAACUGGAAUUCCUGGUGUAGCGGUGAAAUGCGCAGAUAUCAGGAGGAACACCGAUGGCGAAGGCAGGUUACUGGGCAGUUACUGACGCUGAGGAGCGAAAGCAUGGGUAGCGAACAGGAUUAGAAACCCGGGUAGUCCCAUGA